rnacentral:rRNA from 1 species
UGCCAGCAGCCCCGGUAAUACGGAGGGUGCAAGCGUUAAUCGGAAUUACUGGGCGUAAAGCGCUCGUAGGCGGCUAUUUAAGUCGGAUGUGAAAGCCCCGGGCUCAACCUGGGAACUGCAUUCGAUACUGGGUAGCUAGAGUAUAGAAGAGGCAAGUGGAAUUCCAGGUGUAGCGGUGAAAUGCGUAGAUAUCUGGAGGAACAUCAGUGGCGAAGGCGACUUGCUGGUCUAAUACUGACGCUGAGGAGCGAAAGCGUGGGGAGCAAACAGGAUUAGAUA